ACCUGCGCGGCCAUCUCGCGAUCGGUUAAUCCCCCGCAAAUCUGAAUUAAGCGGUCAGAGAGCGUGGAUUUACCGUGGUCAAUAUGGGCGAUGAUGGAGAAAUUUCUUAUGUGCUUCAUUUAUAGGAAUAUCUUCACGUAGAGAAUCAGUUAGAAACCUGAGCACAGACACAUUCAGGAAGAUCGCUCUUAACCCACAAUCCUGUCAGCCUCAUUAAUGACGACGCAUAUUACACUGUUAAGGCCGCGCAUAAAAGAAUGGAACGUUGUGGAAGCGAAACAGUUUUUGGCGAGGCGCCAUAAUGACAGAAGCCGCAGCAAGUGCGGCUUGAGUGAGGAUCAGGCUUCGCUUUCAACGCGCAGUGCAUCUGGCGGCAAAGCGAUGUUUAAAAUAACGGGCUGGAAUGCCUCGCGAUCGCCAAAUUUCAUCGAAAUACCUUUGGCCACGAUAAAGCCCCCCACGCCGCCUAACAGCGCGCCGCAGGCCGCCGCGAGGUCGCUACCAAACAGCGCCUGAAACAGGCCGGCAAACAGGAACAGGCCAAACAGAGGCGUCAUAUAAACCAGCAGCGCGGAACCCAGCAGGCUGCUCUCUUUGAUACCGAGUUCAACACGCUGGCCCGGCGUCAACGGCUUGCUGCUGGCGAUCUGCAUCACGUGCGCGUUCUUUGGCCCCAGCUUAUUCAGCAUAUGGCUACCGCAGCCUUUACGUGCCUGACAGCUGUUGCAGGACGUUUUAGCUUCAGUGUGCAGCGUGGCGAUGCCAUCCUGCCAUGCCACCACAGUGGCCCAUUCUCUCAUCAUUUUUUUGCCCCGAAUUCGACGCUGUCUGCGAUACGU
rfam:Pantoea ananatis LMG 20103, complete genome.